UUCUAAUCACAAAAUAGGUUUAAUCAAUAUAGUCUUAUAAUCAACGAUAAGCUAAGUCUUAGGAACUUGUGCCCCAGUUUUUCUUCACUGCAGGCCAGGUAUAUUGAGAAUUUUAGUUAGAAUUGUUUUUAGGUGUUUGAAACUGCCUUUUUUGCUGUAGUCUGUUAUCAUCUUAACACUAACUUGUUCACGUUUAUUUGAAUGAUGCCAGACAUUCAUUUAUUGAGCAGUUACUAAGAUAUUGAUCUUGCUUUCCAAGAAUCAAAGACUGGCCAAGAAAAUAACAAAGGCCCACAAAACAAACAAGCAAAGAAACAAAUGAACAGAAAAGCAGCAGCAACAAAACCAUAGUAAAUUUAAUUAAGCCUUAUGAGGCCUUGCAAGAUGGCCUGGUGUGUAAAAGUCUUUCUUCAUAAGCACACUGACCUGAGUUUGAUCCUUAGAAUGCAUGGUGGACGGGAAGAACUGACUUUCCUGGAAAGUUUGUCCUCUGACCACAUAUACACUUUACUGUGUCUGACUCUCCACACCAUGUAUAAGUACACACAAUAUAAUAAUAAAUGAAUAAAUUAAAUGCUUUUCAAGUGUUAGGAGACCUAUGGAGAAUAUGACAUCGAGACAACUAAUGUAGUCCUCCCUUCUGGGAGUGUUAGGCCAGGUAGCCUUGCUGUUGAUUUUGUGCAUGAAGAGAUGUGCAGUGACAGUCUGAUUGGAAGAGAGAUUAAAAAAUGCCUAAAGAACAAUGUGCAGAUCAUUUGGGUGAUUGUGUGAUAAGGACAAGGAAAAAGCUACUGGCUAGCUGAAAAUACAGGGGAUUGACUUCCUUUAGGAAUAAAAUAGUACCAGGGGAGAGCACAAAAGAGCCUGAGACAACAUGUGGCCAUACUGCUAACAACCUUAGUUCUUCAGCAUGGGAUGACAACUGUGUUUUAUACAUGGUGGGAGGUAUUGAAAGUAAGCAAGCAUAGAGCUUGCUAGUUCUGGGUGUCUGUGGUUAGAAUCGUUAAGGCUAGGAAGUGUAGUCUUGAAGCUGAAACAGUGCUUCAGUCUCAACAAAUGGCCUUGUACCUGUAAAAACAGACAUUUGAAAUACCUUUAUGUUUUUAGACCAAGCAAAUUUUCCUCAGAAUAUUUUCAUUUGAAUUUGUGUUACAAUAACACAGUAGCAAUGCAAAACUACUAUGAGUUUACAAAUGCUCUUGUAUGUUACAGAUAUCUUUAAAAAUUCUACAAUAAGGAAUAUGUAUUUGAUUAGGAUUCAUGUUGGGAAUCUAUCAUAAGAGGUUGGUUGCCAAACUUUAGUGUGUCUAAGAAUCUCUAUCGAUGGUUUUGUAUUUCAUAGGGAUGAAGGAAAUGCUUUGAUUUUCACCUUAAAGCAAGGCCUGUGAAUACUUUACUUUUUUCAGAACAGUCUCUCCAAAAUGCUUCUAAUAAAUAAGUCCAAACAAUAAACAAGAUAUAAAUAGUUUAUAGUCUUAAUCUGUCCCCAGGUCUCUUUACAGUUCAUAACAUUGCAAGAUAUUAGAACUUAAUCAAAUUUAAACAACGAAAAAGCCUUUUUGUGGACGUUGGUAUUUUAGCUGGAAGUAUUGUCCUUACCCUUGGUCAUACCUGUCUACCUAAUUAUGUACUGAAGGAAUUAUACUAUGAUAUAUCUCUUCUUGUUCCUGUUACUAUCACUUUCUACUAUUCUAGGUACCAAGGUCAUUCAUCCCUGGACACUUCCUGCUGACUAAGAGGAAGCCAUGUACUAAGCAGAGCAUUGCAGUGUUAAGUGGCCAGUUCAUCUGAGCCACCUCUCCACCAUAAGUCAGGUGUAGUCUCCUAAAAUACUUUCAGCAAGUAUUGUGCUGGAUUUAUGUCCCACUCUGCCAGUUCAUGAGUAAGAAUAAGAUCAACUCCUGUUCUCACCAUCUGUAGUGGUUGAAUCAGGGAGCUCCCACCGACAUUCUGUGUUAGGGAUAC
rnacentral:lncRNA from 1 species